UAGGGAAUCUUCGGCAAUGGACGAAAGUCUGACCGAGCAACGCCGCGGGAGUGAAGAAGGUUUUCGGAUCGUAAAACUCUGUUGUUAGAGAAGAACACGGACGUUAGUAGCUGAACGUCCCCUGACGGUAUCUAACCAGAAAGCCACGGCUAACUACGUGCCAGCAGCCGCGGUAAUACGUAGGUGGCAAGCGUUGUCCGGAUUUAUUGGGCGUAAAGCGCACGCAGGCGGUUGAUUGAGUCAGAUGUGAAAUCCCCGGGCUUAACCCGGGAAUUGCAUCUGAUACUGGUCAGCUAGAGUCUUGUAGAGGGGGGUAGAAUUCCAUGUGUAGCGGUGAAAUGCGUAGAGAUGUGGAGGAAUACCGGUGGCGAAGGCGGCCCCCUGGACAAAGACUGACGCUCAGGUGCGAAAGCGUGGGGAGCAAACAGG
rnacentral:rRNA from 1 species